CCAUCCCUCUCCCUUUCCCUUACCUGCCGCCGCCGCCACCCCUUCUCUCCAACCCUCAGCUGCUCCUCCAGCCUUGCACCACCCCACGUGACCGGCCCGAGCAGGGCUGGUGUACCUCGCCCUUGCCUUCCUUUGAUUUGGAGAGAGAUGGCGACGGCGGCGGCUCGACGGGAGGCGCGGCAGAGUAAGCUCGUGCAGGUGGUGGUGGUGAUGGGAACUUGUUCGUUCGAUUUGGAGCAGCAGGAAACCUCCAUGGACGAGGACGACGGAAGAAGGUGCCUUGGUCGACGUGGUCUACGCCGGUGUGGUGCAGCCGAGCUCCACGUCUUGUACGCCGUGGCCUGCGCCGGUGUGGGCGACCUCCUGCUCGGGUAAGCAGCACCCCCUCUCUCUGUUAUUCGUCGCCACCCGUCCACCCGACGAACGAGAGAUGCACGACAGAGAUGCACACGCUCUUCCCUGUGGGAUGACGGUGGUGUUCUUCCUCCAACCAAAUUCCAGCCCCUCGAUACUAAGUCAGAUUCAGGUUCGCUCUUCACCAAUUUGAUGCCAAAUAUUCUUGUUUGGUUGAGGUGGUGAUCAAGGGGUGGAAUUAGUUGAUGCGUACUCCCUCCGUCCGGAAAUACUUGUCGGAGAAAUGGAUGUAUCUAGACAUGUUUUAGUUCUAGAUACACCCAUUUUUAUCCAUUUUUUCGACAAGUAUUUUCGGACGGAGGGAGUACAAUUUAUUAACACAGCCCCACAGCAGCGAGUGCUUAUGGCAACGACGAUGACAAAGAAAGCUGACUGCUACUUCUGGAGUACUACUGGAUGAUGCUUUGUACAGCAGCAACACACACGUACUCGACCUCCUAUUCGAAUUUCAAUCCUUGGACAGAGUUGGUUCCAAUAACUUGGACACUCACGUACACAACAGCCUCUGCUGAUUGAUUCUGUGGCCGGCCAAAAAACGCUGUGCACGGAAACAAAAUCAAUUGGACUGCCACAGAAUGCAAAUGACGGAAGAACUCUGACAAGUUCAACAAAGGCUUUGGCUAUGGCGGAUGGGAUCACUAUGGUGUGUUUCCUCUCAGGGGUAAAUUAUUAAAUGUGAGAGAAGCAAGCCAUAAGCAGUUAAUGGAGAAUGCAGAGAUCCAAAAUAUAAAGAAAAUAUUAGGUCUGCAACAUGAAAAGAAGUAUGAUAGCACGAAAUGCUUGAGAUAUGACCACCUUAUGAUAGUGACAGAUUAGGUUUGCCUGACAAACUUUUCAGGUAAUUUCUUCCGACACAGCAAGAUUGUUCGGUUGGUUCUGGUUUUUCUUUUGUGAAAUUUUGAGCAAGGUUGUUGUAUGUGACUGUGUGAAUAUUGGUGUGAAAUCAGAUGUGUUGUGUUGCGCACUUUUAAACCACAUGAAAUUAAGUGGGCUUGUUACUGUAUUAAAAUGCAGUGAUCUACACAGAAAGAAUAGACACCAUGCAGUUUUAGAAGUGGGACAACAGAUAGUGUGUUAGAUGGAUUGAACAGCUGCAACUAUAUGUAAAGAAAAGUGACUGCAUGCAAGAAAAGUUAUGCAUGACUAUGGCAUGACAAAAAAUAAUAACAUAAAACCGUUCAAAUAUAUUGUUAAACCAAAAUAACAAGUUCAUUACGAAGUCUCUGACUCCCUAAUAAUAUCACAUGAUCGUAACAGAUUUCAUAAGAAACUCAUUACUGAAUAUAGCAUAUAGUUCUCAUCAUGUGUUUGCUCUUA